rnacentral:rRNA from 1 species
GUGAGGAAUAUUGGACAAUGGAGGAAACUCUGAUCCAGCCAUGCCGCGUGAGUGAUGAAGGCCUUCGGGUUGUAAAGCUCUUUCGGGUGUGAAAAUGAUGAUGGUAACACCAGAAGAAGCCCCGGCUAACUCCGUGCCAGCAGCCGCGGUAAUACGGAGGGGGCGAGCGUUGUUCGGAAUCACUGGGCGUAAAGCGUGCGUAGGCGGUUAUACAAGUCAGGAGUGAAAUCCCAGGGCUCAACCUUGGAAUUGCUUUUGAGACUGUAUGACUAGAGAUCUAGAGAGGUUGGGGGAAUUCCGAGUGUAGAGGUGAAAUUCGCAGAUAUUCGGAGGAACACCAGUGGCGUAGGCGCCCAACUGGCUAGAUACUGACGCUGAGGCACGAAAGCGUGGGGAGCAAACAGGAUUAGAAACCCGGGUAGUCC